CUGACAGACGGCAGGGGAGGGAGUGAGAGAGGACCCGGGAGCUCAGCCUGCAGCUCCUCCGGGUCCUACUCUCGCGAGCACGGAGCGUUGCCGCAGCCGUUCUGCCAUCCCUGAUGGUCUCAGUGGUGAGAGUGGACUCUGGUAACCGUGGAAACGCUCAGACCUCGCGUGAGGAACCCGGCGGAGCUGCUGGCUAGAGCUCCCGGGGUCCUCUCUCCCUUCCUCCCCAGCCACAUGUCAGUGCCUGUGGGCCGGUGAGGGAGAUCUUUGAUCUCCCCACUGGCCCACAAAGGCACACAGCAGGGUCGGCGUUCGAAUAACGCGGGCCCUGCAUGGGCUGGCUGGGGAGAUCGUGUAUUCUCCCCUGCCGGCCUCGGCCCAUGGCCAUGGCGGAUCAGGACUACUAAUUGAUCUCGCACGUAGAACUGUACCACUCCUAGGAUUAAGUAUAACGUUUAACUGGACCCUAGAAUGGCCGGACUUAACGUAUCCAAGAAUAGUCAAAAUACUUGUCGAGGUCAGGGAUAGAGAAUCAG